AUGGUCACAUUGUUUGGAGUGGAGACGAAUUGCCUUUCACGAAAUGUGGACAGAGAGGCAGGCUUGGUCACUGUGGAGGAAAUAGGCAUCUUGGUGGAGAAGGCUCAGGAUGAGAUACCAGCAUUGUCUGUGUCCCGGCCCCAGACUGGCCUGUCCUUCCUGGGUCCUGAGCCUGAGGACCUGGAGGACCUGUACAGCCGCUACAAGAAACUGCAGCAAGAGCUGGAGUUCCUAGAGGUGCAGGAGAAGUACAUCAAGGAUGAACAAAAGAACUUGAAGAAGGAAUUCCUUCAUGCCCAGGAGGAGGUGAAGCAAAUCCAGAGCAUCCCACUGGUCAUAGGACAAUUUCUGGAGGCUGUGGAUCAGAAUACAGCCAUCGUGGGCUCUACCACAGGUUCCAACUAUUACGUGCGCAUCCUGAGCACCAUUGAUCGGGAGCUGCUCAAGCCCAACGCCUCGGUGGCCCUCCGCAAGCACAGCAACGCCCUGGUGGAUGUGCUGCCACCCGAGGCCGACAGCAGCAUCAUGAUGCUCACCUCAGACCAGAAGCCAGACGUGAUGUACGCGGACAUCGGGGGCAUGGACAUCCAGAAGCAGGAGGUGCGGGAGGCUGUGGAGCUCCCACUUACGCACUUCGAGCUCUACAAGCAGAUCGGCAUCGAUCCUCUCCGAGGCGUCCUCAUGUACGGCCCACCCGGCUGCGGGAAGACCAUGUUGGCAAAGGCUGUGGCACAUCACACGACAGCUGCAUUUAUCCGGGUCGUGGGCUCGGAGUUUGUACAGAAAUACCUGGGCGAGGGUCCCCGCAUGGUCCGGGAUGUGUUCCGCCUGGCCAAGGAGAAUGCCCCUGCCAUCAUCUUCAUAGAUGAGAUUGAUGCCAUCGCCACCAAGAGAUUUGAUGCCCAGACGGGGGCUGACAGGGAGGUUCAGAGAAUCCUGCUGGAGCUGCUGAAUCAAGUGGAUGGAUUUGACCAGAACGUCAAUGUCAAGGUGAUCAUGGCCACAAAUAGAGCAGACACCCUGGAUCCAGCCCUGCUGCGGCCAGGACGCCUCGACCGUAAAAUUGAAUUUCCCCUCCCUGAUCGUCGCCAGAAAAGAUUGAUUUUUUCCACUAUCACCAGCAAGACGAACCUCUCUGAGGAGGUUGACUUGGAAGAUUAUGUGGCCCGGCCAGAUAAGAUUUCAGGAGCUGAUAUCAGCUCCAUCUGUCAGGAGAGUGGGAUGCUGGCCGUCCGCGAGAACCGCUACAUUGUCCUGGCCAAGGACUUCGAGAAAGCAUACAAGACCGUCAUCAAGAAGGACGAGCAAGAGCAUGAGUUUUACAAAUGACCCCUCCCUUUCCUUCCCCUACACCACUUGGGCUGGGGCUUCUCCCACCUUCCCAGUCCCCCUGACCCAAAACUUAGUGUUCUUUUCUCUUUACCCAGGAUUGGUUUGUUCAAUAAAUAGAUAAAAUUCAAUCCA